rnacentral:rRNA from 1 species
GAUGAACGCUGGCGGCGUGCUUAACACAUGCAAGUCGAACGAGGUCCAACCUUCGGGUGAAGACCGAGUGGCGAACGGGUGAGUAACACGUGGGGAACCUGCCCUUCUCUCUGGGAUAACCUCGGGAAACCGAAGCUAAUACCGGAUACUCCUUGCGGACCGCAUGGUCUGCUCGGGAAAGCCCCGGCGGAGAAGGAUGGCCCCGCGGCCCAUUAGCUUGUUGGUGGGGUAACGGCCCACCAAGGCGACGAUGGGUAGCCGAGCUGAGAGGCUGAUCGGCCACACUGGGACUGAGACACGGCCCAGACUCCUACGGGAGGCAGCAGUGGGGAAUCCUGCGCAAUGGGCGAAAGCCUGACGCAGCAACGCCGCGUGCGGGAUGAAGGCUCUCGGGUCGUAAACCGAUUUCAGCAGGGAUGAAAAUGACAGUACCUGCAGAAGAAGCCCCGGCUAAAUACGUGCCAGCAGCCGCGGUAAUACGUAUGGGGCAAGCGUUAUCCGGAUUCAUUGGGCGUAAAGCGCGCGUAGGCGGCUUGUUAAGUCAGGCGUGAAAUCCGGGGGCUCAACCCGCGGCUUGCGUCUGAAACUGGCAGGCUUGAGUCUGGUAGAGGAAAGUGGAAUUCCUGGUGUAGCGGUGAAAUGCGCAGAUAUCAGGAGGAACACCAGUGGCGAAGGCGGCUUUCUGGGCCACGACUGACGCUGAGGCGCGAAAGCUAGGGGAGCGAACA